rnacentral:rRNA from 1 species
AUACUGCAAGUCGAGCGGAAUGAUGAAGAAGCUUGCUUCUUCUGAUUUUAGCGGCGGACGGGUGAGUAACACGUGGGCAACCUACCUUGUAGAUUGGGAUAACUCCGGGAAACCGGGGCUAAUACCGAAUAAUCCAUUUUGCUUCAUGGCAAGAUGUUGAAAGGCGGCUUCGGCUGUCACUACGAGAUGGGCCCGCGGCGUAUUAGCUAGUUGGUAGGGUAAUGGCCUACCAAGGCGACGAUACGUAGCCGACCUGAGAGGGUGAUCGGCCACACUGGGACUGAGACACGGCCCAGACUCCUACGGGAGGCAGCAGUAGGGAAUCUUCCACAAUGGACGAAAGUCUGAUGGAGCAACGCCGCGUGAGUGAAGAAGGUUUUCGGAUCGUAAAACUCUGUUGUAAGGGAAGAACACGUACGAGAGUAACUGCUCGUACCUUGACGGUACCUUAUUAGAAAGCCACGGCUAACUACGUGCCAGCAGCCGCGGUAAUACGUAGGUGGCAAGCGUUGUCCGGAAUUAUUGGGCGUAAAGCGCGCGCAGGCGGUUCUUUAAGUCUGAUGUGAAAGCCCACGGCUCAACCGUGGAGGGUCAUUGGAAACUGGAGAACUUGAGUACAGAAGAGGAAAGCGGAAUUCCACGUGUAGCGGUGAAAUGCGUAGAGAUGUGGAGGAACNNNNGUGGCGAAGGCGGCUUUCUGGUCUGUAACUGACGCUGAGGCGCGAAAGCGUGGGGAGCAAACAGGAUUAGAUACC